AACGUAGGAGCCAAGCGUUAUCCGAAUUCACUGGGCGUAAAGCGCGAGCAGGCGGCCUGGUAAGUUGGAUGUGAAAUCUCCCGGCUCAACUGGGAGAGGACGUACAAGACUGCCCGGCUAGAGGACGGUAGAGGGAGGUAGAAUUCCCGGUGUAGUGGUGAAAUGCGUAGAUAUCGGGAGGAAUACCAGUGGCGAAGGCGGCCUCCUGGGCCGUUCCUGACGCUGAGAUGCGAAAGCUAGGGGAGCGAACGGGAUUAGAAACCCCGGUAGUCCUAGCCGUAAACGAUGUAGACUGGGCGUCGGUGGGGUAAAAGCCAUCGGUGCCGAAGCCAACGCGAUAAGUCUACCGCCUGGGGACUACGGCCGCAAGGUUAAA
rnacentral:rRNA from 1 species